rnacentral:rRNA from 1 species
UGGGGAAUUUUGGACAAUGGGGGAAACCCUGAUCCAGCCAUCCCACGUGUGCGAUGAAGGCCUUCGGGUUGUAAAGCACUUUUGGCAGGAAAGAAACGUCAUGGGUUAAUACCCCGUGAAACUGACGGUACCGGCAGAAUAAGCACCGGCUAACUACGUGCCAGCAGCCGCGGUAAUACGUAGGGUGCAAGCGUUAAUCGGAAUUACUGGGCGUAAAGCGUGCGCAGGCGGUUCGGAAAGAAAGAUGUGAAAUCCCAGAGCUCAACUUUGGAACUGCAUUUUUAACUACCGGGCUAGAGUGUGUCAGAGGGAGGUGGAAUUCCGCGUGUAGCAGUGAAAUGCGUAGAUAUGCGGAGGAACACCGAUGGCGAAGGCAGCCUCCUGGGAUAACACUGACGCUCAUGCACGAAAGCGUGGGGAGCAAACAGG